CUUUGAUAUCACAUCUCACUUCGGCAGGAUCUCAAGUUUGUGACCGUGUUCAAAAAACAAGUGCCUACGCGGAAACAGCCAUGUUUGGCUGCAGCGUAUUGGCUCCAAUACUCCUGCUUCUGCUAGCCACCUCAUCAGCUGCACCAAUUAUGACACGUAAUCCCAUAGAGCAAAUUACUGGUGAAACUAGAGGCUUAGAAAUACCCAUGGAUCUUAUCGCCGCAGUUGGAGUAGGAACCGGAGCUAUGCAACUCGUGGUUAACAUACAUACAGAUAGUCACGGGAACAUCGAAGUACAGACUAAUUAAGGCAAUAGUAUGGCAACUUGUAAUUUAAAAAUUUCAUUCAUGAAAAUCCAAUAGAAACGAAAAAUGAAGAAAAAGAAAAGAAAGAAGAUGAAUUAUUAAAUAUGUAUAUUGUUAAUUAAAUUUAAAACACAGUUGCUAAAUAACGAAUAAUCUCGAAAAAGUAACUAGCAAAGAUUGUUUAACAUAGAUGUGAAAAGAUGAAAAUAAGGCGCAAUGUAAAGAAUUAUAUGAAAGACACUGAAGAAAGUAUUUCACAUGAAAGUACGACAUAUAAUGUAUCAAGAGUAAACAUGGUGAAAUGGGAGCAAAUUGUGAAAUGAGAACGGGUCUAUAUCAAAACACAAUAAUGCGCCGUUUCACGUUUCGCAUCUCAAAGAUAUCAGCUUAUCGACAAAGAGGACGAUAAAGGAGACAUUUCAUUGCGAUAUUGCUCACGACACGUUCAUUCGAAUGUGUCCAUGAGCGAAUCUGGGACCCAAUUCAGCUAACGCAAAUAUUGUAACUGUAACUAAUACUGAUCGAACUAUUGCUUUAAAACUGUAGCUGUUGAAAACUUUAGAUAAGAUAAUUUAAAAUGAUUACAACGAGAAAUUUUACUGUUGAAGAAACUUAUUUUAAUGGCUUAAUGUAAAUCAAUGAAAAGCAUAUCUAUUGUUCACAGUCAGCAAUAACGGAACUGGGUCCAGUUUAUCUACUUCCAUUUUUACACCUAGCUGCGUAAAAAUGACAAGAAAUGAUAUUUACAACAUUCAAAUUUCUGGGUGUUAUUAACAUUAAUGUUAGAAGUGAUUUAAGCUGAAAUUAAAACAGUGCACGGCAUUUGCUCGUUUUCCAAGAUAAAACCUGCACGAAGAGCUAAGGCAUGAGCGAGAGAUGAUGAUUAAAUAGAGGCUCAGACUGAAACCUGAAAAUUGUUUUUAAGUGUUUUAGUUGAUGUUUUGAUGUUGCAACACUGUACAUCGAGACGCUCAGGUGAUGCUGCUUCUAUUUAAAACACGAUAAGCAAUAGUUAUCGAAUUAUCUGUAAUGUCAUCGUAACAUGUUGCUUACCAACGAUAAAAUUAAUCUAAACGAAGGUAUGUUGGAUUUAAAUAUUCCAACCAUAGAUAGGAAUGAAAAAAUAUACGUUAACUUUACCAAAUUUUAAGCAAUCGAUACUAGAGGAAAAGUAGAUCUUCUCUCUGGAACUCUAUAUAGCUAUACUUCUGUUAUUUACGUCUCUUGCCUUAAACAAGCAGUUACAAGCCAUAUUUAACGAAUAAUUAAUUAAUUUUUGUUUUUACAUAAGAUGUAAGUUUUAGCUAGUUCAAUUAAUUUUAUUUGUACAUCUUCAUACUUUUAUAAAAUAAAGUUUUAAAGUUA